rnacentral:lncRNA from 1 species
ACUUGACCACUGCGAUCGAUCCGAUAAACCAAAGCAUCCUGGCCAACCGACUAACCAUUGAGAAUGGAACAAAUAGGGGAGAUUUAAUUCUUCUCUCUUGUCUUUCAACCCUUGCUCUUGCCUCGGCUUCGCCUUCCACCUUAUUAAGCUUUGGACUUCCACCUUCACUAACCCGUGGGACGGGACCGACCUUCUCUUUUGUUUGUAAUUGGACUUGCCCGAAACAAAGGAACCUUGGCGUGAGAACCCUCUAGAUUAGGGAGAUCCAAAUAAGAGCUUGUUGCAUAUGCGUAGGAAACCACCCCAUGCGAAAGAGCUUGCUGCAUAUGCCUAGGAAACCACCCCAUGCGGUGUGAGAAAGCCUACUUGACUUAGGAAUGCCAACCUCCCUUAGCUUAGCCCUUUACGACCUUUUCCGCCUUCUCACUGCCAUUCAUCGGAUAAGACUACGUCACCUAAAUCAACAAAAAAGAGGAAGGCAUUUCUCAUUGUUGGCUAGCCUGGGCACCACACCAGAUUUUAUCUGAGAUGGGGAGAUUCUUUAGUAAAGGCAUGGCUUAAGCCAACUCGGGACGGGAUGUUUUUCUACUACUAUUACAGCUCGUACAACCUUGAGGAAUCGACACUAGUGUAAUAAGUUACUAGCCUAGUGCUACUCCUCCACAGAAGACUUCUAGAAUAGCUACCACCUUUUCUCUUGACUUUCCUUUGCCAAAUAAAUCCCACGUAUGAAGCUCUCGGAUUACGUACGAAUCAAUUAAACAAGCCAAACCAAAGGCUUUUUUCAAAAGCAUCAGUAGACGCAGAAAGAGAUCCUAUUCCCUAAGGCCUUUGUUAUCGCUUUAAACUUCCCUAUUUCCCAUAGGAAGCCCAUCUUCAAAGCUACUUUCUCAACAAGCUCUAGCUCUAGGGCUUUGUAAAAACUCUCUUCUUUAUCAUACGAUACGAGGCAUCCAAAUCUGCAUUCCCAUCCCCUUCUGAACCCGAUGAGACAUCCGUCUCAGUCGAACCAAACUCUCGAACCCGUCCAGAAGUUGAGGAUGCAACUUACGAUUUAAUCGGUUAAAAAAAAAGGUUUAGCCAUAAAGAUUCCGGUUAAAGAGAGUUCUAACGUGGGGGGCGACGGCAUAUAAUUACCUUAAAAGGGGGUGCCCUCCCUGAGACUUCCUCAGUCAUAGUUUUCUGCUUGAUAGACUAACUAAUUACUAAAAAGAAUUGCCAGAUCAACCAUCAAUCGUUCCUUAUGAUUCUAGGGGUUUAGGAUAGGAAGAGGGCUAAGCUCAACUCAAAGAUGCUAAAUAAGGGCAUUCAUUAGAAUUUCAAUGCGCAUUGAGCGAGUAGUUAGUUCAGGUCUUUUUGUAUGAGAGAUCUCGUUCCAACAGUUUUUCCGUGAAGGCUCUCUUUUAUUUUCAGGAUGGAACCUUUGUUCAGGACCACAGGACGGGAUAGGGUCCCGUUGAAUUAUACCUACCUGGUAAACCCCGCCACAGCGGUCGUUUUCUACCUCUCGAACACAUGGAUGCCAAGCUCCUUUUCAUUAAGAUUUUAGGACUCCUAGUUCUAACUUCAAUCUUGGAGAAAGGUGAGUGGGCUAGGAUCGGGCUAUUGGAUCGAGCAAGGUUAGGAAGGGAGGCAAGGCGAAAGGCAUGCACUGGGUACCGCCGAAACGAAUAGCUAACAUA